UACGUAGGUGGCAAGCGUUGUUCGGAAUUACUGGGCGUAAAGGGCUCGUAGGCGGCCAACUAAGUCAGACGUGAAAUCCCUCGGCUUAACCGGGGAACUGCGUCUGAUACUGGAUGGCUUGAGUUUGGGAGAGGGAUGCGGAAUUCCGCGUGUAGUGGUGAAAUGCGUAGAGAUGCGGAAGAACACCAGUGGCGAAGGCGGUUUACUGGUCUCCAACUGACACUGAACCGCGAAAGCAUGGGUAGCGAACGGG
rnacentral:rRNA from 1 species